rnacentral:rRNA from 1 species
GAUGAACGCUGGCGGCGUGCCUAAUACAUGCAAGUCGAGCGAACAGACGAGGAGCUUGCUCCUCUGACGUUAGCGGCGGACGGGUGAGUAACACGUGGAUAACCUACCUAUAAGACUGGGAUAACUUCGGGAAACCGGAGCUAAUACCGGAUAAUAUAUUGAACCGCAUGGUUCAAUAGUGAAAGACGGUUUUGCUGUCACUUAUAGAUGGAUCCGCGCCGCAUUAGCUAGUUGGUAAGGUAACGGCUUACCAAGGCGACGAUGCGUAGCCGACCUGAGAGGGGGCUCGGCCACACUGGAACUGAGACACGGUCCAGACUCCUACGGGAGGCAGCAGUAGGGAAUCUUCCGCAAUGGGCGAAAGCCUGACGGAGCAACGCCGCGUGAGUGAUGAAGGUCUUCGGAUCGUAAAACUCUGUUAUUAGGGAAGAACAAAUGUGUAAGUAACUAUGCACGUCUUGACGGUACCUAAUCAGAAAGCCACGGCUAACUACGU